UACAGAGGGGGCAAGCGUUGUUCGGAAUUACUGGGCGUAAAGGGCGCGUAGGCGGCCUGUUAAGUCGAACGUGAAAUCCCCGGGCUCAACCCGGGAACUGCGUCCGAUACUGGCAGGCUUGAAUCCGGGAGAGGGAUGCGGAAUUCCAGGUGUAGCGGUGAAAUGCGUAGAUAUCUGGAGAACACCGGUGGCGAAGGCGGCAUCCUGGACCGGCAUUGACGCUGAGGCGCGAAAGCCAGGGGAGCAAACGGG
rnacentral:rRNA from 1 species